rnacentral:rRNA from 1 species
UGCUGCUUCGCUGACGAGUGGCGGACGGGUGAGUAAUGUCUGGGAAACUGCCUGAUGGAGGGGGAUAACUACUGGAAACGGUGGCUAAUACCGCAUAACGUCGCAAGACCAAAGAGGGGGACCUUCGGGCCUCUUGCCAUCAGAUGUGCCCAGAUGGGAUUAGCUUGUUGGUGAGGUAACGGCUCACCAAGGCGACGAUCCCUAGCUGGUCUGAGAGGAUGACCAGCCACACUGGAACUGAGACACGGUCCAGACUCCUACGGGAGGCAGCAGUGGGGAAUAUUGCACAAUGGGCGCAAGCCUGAUGCAGCCAUGCCGCGUGUAUGAAGAAGGCCUUCGGGUUGUAAAGUACUUUCAGCGGGGAGGAAGGUGUUGUGGUUAAUAACCGCAGCAAUUGACGUUACCCGCAGAAGAAGCACCGGCUAACUCCGUGCCAGCAGCCGCGGUAAUACGGAGGGUGCAAGCGUUAAUCGGAAUUACUGGGCGUAAAGCGCACGCAGGCGGUCUGUCAAGUCGGAUGUGAAAUCCCCGGGCUCAACCUGGGAACUGCAUUCGAAACUGGCAGGCUUGAGUCUUGUAGAGGGGGGUAGAAUUCCAGGUGUAGCGGUGAAAUGCGUAGAGAUCUGGAGGAAUACCGGUGGCGAAGGCGGCCCCCUGGACAAAGACUGACGCUCAGGUGCGAAAGCGUGGGGAGCAAACAGGAUUAGAUACCCUGGUAGUCCACGCCGUAAACGAUGUCUACUUGGAGGUUGUGCCCUUGAGGCGUGGCUUCCGGAGCUAACGCGUUAAGUAGACCGCCUGGGGAGUACGGCCGCAAGGUUAAAACUCAAAUGAAUUGACGGGGGCCCGCACAAGCGGUGGAGCAUGUGGUUUAAUUCGAUGCAACGCGAAGAACCUUACCUGGUCUUGACAUCCACAGAAGAAUCCAGAGAUGGAUUUGUGCCUUCGGGAACUGUGAGACAGGUGCUGCAUGGCUGUCGUCAGCUCGUGUUGUGAAAUGUUGGGUUAAGUCCCGCAACGAGCGCAACCCUUAUCCUUUGUUGCCAGCGAUUAGG